rnacentral:lncRNA from 1 species
UAUCCAAACCAUUUUAUUUCUUUCAACACAAAAGGAUUCAUUACAUAGCCACGAUAAUAGAUAGUAGAUACAUUCGACAGAGACUGAAUUAACAUAGAAAUGAAGCAACAAAGGGCAGUCUGAGAAAAGGAACUACAUGGGACUACAACAACAUGGGACUAGAGCUACCAUUUCUAUUUCUACCAGCAUUUGUAGACGCUUGCAAGAGAGGGAGAGAGAUCAUCCAUCAUCAAUCAGUGACAGUAGCGACGUUCGAGAGACCCCCUCCCCCUGCUGCUUCGCGUGCCUGCUACUGCUUGUUGUGCCGCAUCACUAGUCGCCCUACACACAAGAAUUUUGGCUUUACAUAAGGUUUACAAGAACAGGACCCUGAUACAUGAGAUUGACAUUCACAAGUUAUUUUCAUUUUUAUUAAGAACUGUGUCACACCAUUUACAUUACUAGUUAUGUAUUGACAUACUUAUCUAAAAGAACAUAUACAGAAACAUAUGAAUUUUAUUUAUGAAUACCAAUACAGAAGUACUAAAAAAACAAGACUAGAAAUCAGUAGAAGGUAACAAGAGCUCAUUACACAAGUUUUGCUAGCAAUUAGGGGACCCUGGUUCCUAUACUGACCACAUUUGGGCAUAUCCUACCCUACCAGUGGAUAAAUAAUGCAACUUUAUGACUGUCAAGUAGGCCUACAGAUCAAUGAUGGAGCAGACUCAAACAUUACAAACACAACAGCUGAUGCGCGCCAUGGAGCACGAUCUGAAUGUUGUUCCUCGUUUAUUAAACUUAAGGACAAGAAAAGCACUCAGGUUGCAUCUUUCGCAGACACGACAACAUACAUGAGCCAAAUUAACAAACAAGAGGUGCAGAUCUGGAACCAGUCGUCAUCAUCAAAUGAAGCGUUUCAUCACCGUGCACUGAUUGAAGGGCACAUGCUAACCUAUACCAAUGUUGAUGACCCCCACAAACAGACCACCAUGGCUCAACACACCGACCGGCCAGAGUCUUACCUUUGUUUUAGCCAUGCACGCUAGCUGUUGAGCAGAGCAG